rnacentral:misc_RNA from 1 species
ACUUCAUAAAUACGACAGCAGUUGUUGAAGUUGUAGAAUUGAUGAAAGAAACUGCAUACAGCCACUUAAUGGAGGUGAUCUUGGGAGUUGCUCCUGAAAGCUUGUAUAACAAAAUGUUCACUAAAGUUUUCAGGAAAUCAUUAUUUGAGCUUUCAUCCCAUCACUGUGGCAACUUUGUUAUUCAAGCAUUAGUUUCUCAUGCAAGAAAUCAAGAACAAAUGGAGAUGAUUUGGGAGGCACUUGGUCC